CUUCCAUCUGGGAGUUUGGGUUUAAUCUACACGAGGAGUGGGAAACGUGCCCACAACCGUUCUGCAAACUGUGAAGGGGCCUCCCCUCGGGCGGCCUGCAGGAGCUCCCCUCCGUCCUCCAAGGGCAGGCUGGCUCUCGCCAGGGACGCGGCUGCGAGGCCCGGGCUGCCUGGCCCCCUUUCCUUUCCCUUCCUCUCUCCUCCCCAACUGCUGCUCCCCGCAGGCCCAGUGAUUCUGUCUUGAGACUCAGACUGACCAGACUGGGGCCCACAAAGCAUGAGCUGUAUUUAACGACUUGCAAAAUUCCUGAAAAUUUAACAAUUGGCUUUUGCGAACAGACAUGAACGCUAACAGCACCGCUUGUGAAAUGAGUACCACUCUCCCCAUUUGACCCUAAGAGGAAACUGAGGAAGAGAGGAGUCUGGCAAUCUGUCUGAGGUCCUAUAACUUGUGAGGGGCUGAGCCCAGGCUGCAAACCUUUCUGCUUCUCCGGUGGGGAAUUUCCGCCAUAAACCAGCCCUCAGUGACCGCAGAUCCUCAUCUGUUUACGUUCUAAUUACCGCUUGUAGCAAAACCUGGUCUGGAUCUUUGUGGGGGAGGGUAGCUUUGGGGAGGGGUGGGUGAUUCCAGCCUGGACGGUGAAGGCUGGUUGGAGGGGGACCUCAGGAAGCACUGGUUCUCUCCCCCUGUGCACCCAGCAGGGGCGGUGUGGGAACUCAAGCUAAGACACAGACUCCUGUGGAAUAUUCUCUGGGGAGAACAGCAAUGUGAACUUACUUCCUAUUAAAUUAAUGUAAGCAUAAGAUGUCAUUUCUGGCUAAGAUGAAUAUAUUUUUAUAAAUACAGUUAUUUGGGCUAAAACUGUAUUUUGUCCAGAGUCUUCACAGAGAUUUCUGAGUGGGUCAUAAUUCUCAGUGAGAAAGACACAAUAUUUUAUCACUCAAGCAAAGAGUUUGUUAUGAGUAUUAACUAAAUAUUGCUGGUCAUAACCAUUACCGACAUUAAACUGACAAUGGCAAAUUACUUUCCGACUUUUAGUGAUUCUCAUUUUAUGUAUGUAUUUUGAAAUAAUAAUUAUUAUUCUAAAAUUUAAAACAUAGUAAUAUAUAUCCUAC
rnacentral:lncRNA from 1 species